rnacentral:rRNA from 1 species
UGGGGAAUUUUGGACAAUGGGCGAAAGCCUGAUCCAGCAAUGCCGCGUGUGUGAAGAAGGCCUUCGGGUUGUAAAGCACUUUUGUCCGGAAAGAAAUCCUUGGCUCUAAUACAGUCGGGGGAUGACGGUACCGGAAGAGUAAGCACCGGCUAACUACGUGCCAGCAGCCGCGGUAAUACGUAGGGUGCAAGCGUUAAUCGGAAUUACUGGGCGUAAAGCGUGCGCAGGCGGUUUGCUAAGACCGAUGUGAAAUCCCCGGGCUCAACCUGGGAACUGCAUUGGUGACUGGCAGGCUAGAGUAUGGCAGAGGGGGUAGAAUUCCACGUGUAGCAGUGAAAUGCGUAGAGAUGUGGAGGAAUACCGAUGGCGAAGGCAGCCCCCUGGGCCAAUACUGACGCUCAUGCACGAAAAGCGUGGGGAGCAAAACAGGAUUAGAUACCCUGGUAGUCCACGCCCUAAAACGAUGUCAAACUAGUUGUUGGGGAUUCAUUUCCUUAGUAACGUAGCUAACGCGUGAAGUUGACCGCCUGGGGAGUACGGUCGCAAGAUU